GAUGAACGCUGGCGGCGUGCCUAAUACAUGCAAGUCGAGCGAACAGACGAGGAGCUUGCUCCUCUGACGUUAGCGGCGGACGGGUGAGUAACACGUGGAUAACCUACCUAUCAGACUGGGAUAACUUCGGGAAACCGGAGCUAAUACCGGAUAAUAUAUUGAACCGCAUGGUUCAAUAGUGAAAGACGGUUUUGCUGUCACUUAUAGAUGGAUCCGCGCCGCAUUAGCUAGUUGGUAAGGUAACGGCUUACCAAGGCAACGAUGCGUAGCCGACGUGAGAGGUGGAUCGGCCGCACUGGAAGUGGGACACGGACCAGACGCCUGCGGGAGGCAGCAGUAGGGAAUCUUCCGCAGUGGGCGAGAGCCUGACGGAGCGACGGCGCGUGAGUGGUGAAGGUCUUCGGAUCGUAAAACUCUGUUAUUAGGGAAGAACAAAUGUGUAAGUAACUAUGCACGUCUUGACGGUACCUGAUCAGAAAGCCACGGCUAACUACGUG
rnacentral:rRNA from 1 species